rnacentral:rRNA from 1 species
CGGGGGGCAGCAGUGGGGAAUAUUGCACAAUGGGGGAAACCCUGAUGCAGCGACGCCGCGUGAACGAAGAAGGUAUUCGUAUCGUAAAGUUCUGUCCUAUGGGAAGAUAAUGACAGUACCAUAGAAGAAAGCUCCGGCUAAAUACGUGCCAGCAGCCGCGGUAAUACGUAUGGAGCGAGCGUUGUCCGGAAUUAUUGGGCGUAAAGGGUACGCAGGCGGUUUAAUAAGUCGAAUGUUAAAGAUCGGGGCUCAACCCCGUAAAGCAUUGGAAACUGAUAAACUUGAGUAGUGGAGAGGAAAGUGGAAUUCCUAGUGUAGUGGUGAAAUACGUAGAUAUUAGGAGGAAUACCAGUAGCGAAGGCGACUUUCUGGACACAAACUGACGCUGAGGUACGAAAGCGUGGGGAGCAAACAGGAUUAGAUACCCCCGU